ACAUCGAAGAGAGGUCGCACUGCUUAUCAGUAGCCUUCAUGAAUUGCUAAAGCAAUGGUGAUUGAGGGUGAAAGGAAUCGGUGCCGAAGUGAUUGAUUGCUUUAGAGGUCAACCGCUGGGGUCUAGCUUAAGAGGCUAGGAACUGUCGCAGUGAAAACAUUGCGGAGCGCUAUCGAAAGU
rfam:Lactobacillus aviarius subsp. araffinosus DSM 20653 NODE_3, whole genome shotgun sequence.